rnacentral:rRNA from 1 species
CGGGGUGCAGCAGGCGCGAAAACUUUACAAUGCUGGCAACAGCGAUAAGGGGACCUUGAGUGCCAGGAUACAAUCUUGGCNGUCGUCGUGUCUAAAAAACACGAUAUAGCAAGGGCCGGGCAAGACCGGUGCCAGCCGCCGCGGUAACACCGGCGGCUCGAGUGGUAACCGCUAUUAUUGGGUCCAAAGGGUCUGUAGCCGGCUUGGUUAGUCUCUUGGGAAAUCCGGCAGCUUAACUGUCGGGCUUUCAGGAGAUACUGCCAGGCUCGAGACCGGGAGAGGUGAGAGGUACUUCAUGGGUAGGGGUGAAAUCUUGUAAUCCUUGAAGGACCACCAGUGGCGAAGGCGUCUCACCAGAACGGAUCUGACGGCAAGGGACGAAAGCUAGGGGCACGAACCGGAUUAGAUACCCGGGUAGUCCUAGCCGUAAACGAUACUCGCUAGGUGUCGGCCACGGUGCGACCGUGGUCGGUGCCGUAGGGAAGCCGUGAAGCGAGCCACCUGGGAAGUACGGCCGCAAGGCUGAAACUUAAAGGAAUUGGCGGGGGAGCACAAGGGCGAAUUCGCG